rnacentral:rRNA from 1 species
UACAGAGGGUGCGAGCGUUAAUCGGAAUUACUGGGCGUAAAGCGUGCGUAGACGGUUAUCUAAGUCGGAUGUGAAAGCCCCGGGCUCAACCUGGGAAUUGCAUUCGAGACUGAAUAGCUAGGGUGCGGUAGAGGGAAGCGGAAUUUCCGGUGUAGCGGUGAAAUGCGUAGAUAUCGGAAGGAACGUCAGUGGCGAAAGCGGCUUCCUGGACCAGCACCGACGUUCAGGCACGAAAGCGUGGGGAGCAAACAGG